CAGCCGCCGCGGGAAGACAGAGGAUGCAAGCGUUAUUCGGAAUGAUUGGGCGUAAAGCGUCUGUAGGUGGCUUUUCAAGUCCACCGUCAAAUCCCCGGGCUCAACCCUGGACAAGCAGUGGAAACUACCAAGCUGGAGUACGGUAGGGGUAGAGGGAAUUUCCGGUGGAGCGGUGAAAUGCGUUGAGAUCGGAAAGAACACCAACGACGAAAGCACUCUGCUGGGCCGACACUGAUACUGAGAGACGAAAGCUAGGGGAGCAAAUGGGAUUAGAUACCCCCGUAGUCCCUGUCUCUUAUAC
rnacentral:rRNA from 1 species